rnacentral:rRNA from 1 species
GGUUGCGAUCAUACCAGCACUAAUGCACCGGAUCCCAACGGAACUCCGCAGUUAAGCGUGCUUGGGCGAGAGUAGUACUAGGAUGGGUGACCCCCUGGGAAGUCCUCGUGUUGCAACCC